UCUCAAAAGGGAAGCUGUGAUGCCAGGCCUGUCCCUGGACACUGGGGCCGCGCAAAGUUGGUAGUGUAACCGGCCUCUUGGAGU
rnacentral:ncRNA from 18 species